UCUCAUAAUAUUCACAUGGUUUAGCUAAAUUAAACUGUUAUUUCUCUGUCUGACUCUACGCAGCCAUAUGCCAAAAAACCUAAAUAAGAUAUUUUCCCCAUUUUAUUUCCCCUUUGUUCGUUAUUUGGUUCAGUUUAAUCAGAGCUACCUUGUGUUACGUUGUUCCCUUGUUAGUUUAGUAUAAAGUUAAACUGCUAGCUAAAAGUUUAAAACCAAGAAGGAUAAUUUUAACAGGAGAUAUGAACGAAAGAAUUGAACCAUGAUAAAACGCGACAUGCACUACAAAUUGAAGGUAUGAAAUUAAGUUAAAUGAAAGCUCGUUUAUUCACCAUAUGAUGCUCGUUAUAAGGUAAUCAUAUAGGCUAGAUACCGUGAGUUAACGAGGUCGUUUACAUGCACGUGAGUGCACGGAUAUCGGUUAAUUAUUCAAAUUGCUGAAAAACACGGAGAAAACCGCAACCGCAUCGUCAUGUGUUUUUCUAAGAUGUAUGCAAACAGGGGAAAUAUCGCCAAACCAACAAUUAAUUUGACCAAAACCUCACAAUAUAUCAUCAUUUGUAUGCACAGAUUGGAUGCAUUGUGUGUUGUAAGCUAUUCGUGGCGCUAGAUGUCAGACAGAUGCAAAUGGCAAAUACAUACGGAAGUGUAAAACGUGUAUGGCGAACAUUUUUUUUCUGUCAUUAUAGAUGCUAGUUUGGUGAAAGUACACACUGAGUGCUUCAAAUCAUUCAGAAGAGAUGCUGUUUUUAGGGCAGUUUAUUAAAGAAGACCUGACAUGGAUGACUUCCAAUGAGAAACGACUGCUAAUACUUAUAUAAAUUCAUUACAGAAGGACCCUACCAGACUAUAUUUGAAUACGGCAUGAAUUCUGGAACUGUUAUUCCUUAACCCAGUUUGGAGGAUAAGAGCUUACCAACUAGUUAUAAAUAUGCUGAGGUGAUGUAUUGCAAAAUAGCCAACAUACAACAAUAUGGAUGACCCUCUGUCUGGUCAACAGGAGUUUAAAUAUGGACGGGACAGUGAUGUGGCAGCUCUUCCCUGCUCAUUCACCUCUUGCCUUCAUUUGUGAAAGGAAGAAAGACUGGAGAGGGUCAAUGUGCAACUGAAGCUACUGAUUGUGCGGUGUGAUGAGCAUCAAUCCAUGCUUUGAGGGGGAUGAAUCAGCACAGCCCUGCCUGCACUGCGUUGGGAACAGAAGUUGCAUCCAGAAUUUUUGCAUCAUUCUGGACCAAAAAGCCAUUCCCUCCAUGAUGAAGACCACUGAUGCAGCCUUCCACUUCAUCAUGAGUAAAACAACUAAAGAACUAAAUACCAGGUUGGAACGUAUUUAAGAAAAAUGAAACGUCUUUUGAAUUGAAAUGUCUGUUUUGUUAUGGAAAAAUCUUUAGUAUUGUGAAGGAUAAGCAUUUCUGCCUGCCAGUAAGGUAAUUGCCGUGUAUUUUAAUGUUCAAGUUUUGAGUAGGGUGGCUAAUUUUUUUUAAACUCUCAUUUGAUAUAUUAAAGACCUUAUAAUAAGUGGUUUUCAUGUCACUGCGCUGUGGUAUAAGAUAACUUUCAUUAUUCCAUACUGUAUUCUGUUUCUAAUUGUAGCUGAGGUAUUUAAAUAAGCAGUGUUAAAUGCAAAGUGUUGUGUGUAUAAAUGUAAAUAUUAAAUGUGAUGUACUUUAAUAAAAAGAGGUUUUGCAAUA